rnacentral:rRNA from 1 species
ACGGGAGGCAGCAGUGAGGAAUAUUGGUCAAUGGGCGGAAGCCUGAACCAGCCAAGUCGCGUGAAGGAUGAAGGUAUUAUGUAUUGUAAACUUCUUUAGCUGUGGAGCAAUAAUCUCCAUGUAUGGAGAGAUGAGAGUACACAGAGAAUAAGGAUCGGCUAACUCCGUGCCAGCAGCCGCGGUAAUACGGAGGAUCCGAGCGUUAUCCGGAUUUAUUGGGUUUAAAGGGUGCGCAGGCGGCACGUUAAGUCAGCGGUGAAAUGCAGGGGCUCAACCCCGGCACUGCCGUUGAAACUGGCGAGCUCGAGUACGGAUGAAGUCGGCGGAAUGUGAUGUGUAGCGGUGAAAUGCUUAGAUAUGUCACAGAACACCGAUUGCGAAGGCAGCUGACUAAUCCGCAACUGACGCUCAGGCACGAAAGCGUGGGGAUCGAACAGGAUUAGAUACCCUGGUA